rnacentral:tRNA from 1 species
ACGGCAUGGUCGACUGGAACGACCGACGGUUACCGCUCGACCGGCAACCGUCGGUCGUUCCAGUCGACCAUGCCGUCC